rnacentral:rRNA from 2 species
AAUGGCGGCUAUAGCGAGGGGGAUCACCUCUUCCCAUUCCGAACAGAGAAGUUAAGCCCCUCCACGCUGAUGGUACUGGUUUUCCGGGAGAGUAAGUAGCUGCCUAUC